AUGAUGAUGAUCAUGAGCAUCCAAGAGGAAAUGGACAGGGAGGUGGGGUGCAUUCUGAACUUCAAGGGUAUGAUCAAAGGGAGAAGAGUUUUCAACCAGGGUAGGGUCGAUGGAGGACGGCUGCUCUAUAAGGACUACUUUAAGCCCGGCCCAAUAGUCCCUGAUAAUUUUUUUGUCGACGCUUUCGUUUGCGCAAACCCUUGUUCUUGCGCGUGGUGGAGGGAGUGGAGGCACAUGAUUCGUACUUCAGGCUCAACAAGGAUUGUUGCAGACAACUCUCGUUCUCUCCUAAGCAGAAAUGCACGGUUGCUCUGA
rnacentral:rRNA from 1 species